AGAGGCUGAGCAAGUUCCGCGGCCGCCGGUGCGGGCUCGCAGCCCCAUGCGGUCCAGGACAGCCAAGGGGGAGAAAAGAGGGAGGUCCGCUGCCUAGCUCUUGCGAAUCGUUGUUCCUUCCCCCUGUGCCGGCUCCUAAGACAAGCUAAUACUGACCCCGGUAGUCUUAGCGUUGGUUUUCCAGGAACUAUUGCUGCUCACUGGGAAGCCGAGAGCCAUACGUGAGCGUUCCCCCCUUCGGCGGCUGCACUAUAGUGCGGUCCCCGCUUCGCCAGCCAUAAGGCAAGCGAGAAGGGACGCACUUCUCCCGGCUUGCAAAGCGGUAGGGAGACGAUCGGGCCGCUGGCCGCUGUCUCGGCGUUCAGCAAUAGAGGCCUUCCCGGAUCUCCCGAGAGGCGGGGAGCGAGCCUGGGUCCAGCAGCCUUCUCCCUCCCGAGAACAGCAGAAAGGGGGGACUCGACAGAAUGACCUCUGUUUCCCCAAGGAAGUGCACUCUGACGAUAACCUCGGGAGGGACGAGAAGGGCCGCUCUUUCGGAGAGCGGCCGCCGCCCCUGGAGUAGGGGACUCAGUGGCCACGAAGGCCUUCCCUGCUCGCGACCUUUCCACGGGAAGGCACGAAGCUUCCGAUGGGGGCCCCGGGGCGCUCCUGACUUUUCUACGGCGCGAGGGCUCUGACUCUGCGGUUCAGGUUUGAAAGUCCUUUGGAAGCUCGCAAGUGGUGGUCUCCCACCACCUCCUCGGUCAUCGCAGGAAGAAGGCGCAGUGAGGGCGGGAGUCUGGAUGAGCGGAGAGUAGCCACCGCGGAGAAGAGUGCGGGCUUGCAGGAGCCGACGAAGAUAACUCGAAAUGUGGGCAGGCAGGUGUUGGUGGGUCUUGAAAGUGGGAAAGCACGAGAAAAGAACAAUGUUCGCGUCCGCUUAGAAUACGGAAACAAGUGAGCUUUAAAGGAAAAUACUCAUUCUCAUUACCCCUGUCCAGGAAGAAGAGUGCUGAUCUGCUGCUUCCAGUCCGCUGGGCUGGAGAGCAGAAAGAGGCUACUUGAUCCCAGCCAAGCCAGUGUCUGUCCCCCAGCAAGCACUUCUGCCUUGGUGUGAUCCCCAUUCCUUUUCUAAAAAUACAAAAUAAUAAGAAGUCCUGGAAGGAAAUACACUAAAAUGUUCCCAGUGGUUAAUCAUGCGUACAGUAGUAGAUUAUAUGCAGCUUUCAUUUUCUGCUUUAGACUUUUGUCUAUUUUCCACAACUUUUCUAAAGUUUCUACAAAGGCCAUAUAUUUCCACCAUAAGCAGAAAAAAUGAAAACGUAAGCAUUUAAAUGGCACAUACAAUAUAAUCUCAAUAGUAUAAACAUGCAUACAAAAGACAGGAAGGAGAUAUGAAGAACUGCUAACAGUAUGUUAUUUUUCACAACUAGGAUAUAGUCUCCUGUCCUGCUUUACCUUUCAGGUAUUUUCAUCUGAUAAAUAGAGAAACAGUUUAAAAUAAAUUCAGUCAUCCUGUUCAAUAGCCAAGAGGUUCCAAAAUGAGAUAAUGAAUUUAAAAGCCUUCGGGAACUAUAAAGAAAAGUAAUGCAUUAGUAUUAUUUUGAAGAUAAGUUUACAAUAUUUCUUACUGUAAAUUAUCAAAUCACUUUUGGGUGCAUUGUCAGUCUUUCUGUACAUGGAUUCGUUUCACUGUGGCAAAGGCAACUUGCAGAUAAGCUGAUAAAGAUUCCAGAACUACAAAUCAAACUAGGCCCUGGAGUAGCAGUAAAAUUCCAAACCCAAAGGCCCAUCCAGUCUGUCCACUACAUUCCUAUAUUGAUGAGAGCAGAACAGACACUCAUGAGAGACAUGACUUCUGCUUCCCCCAUAACUAAGAAGAGAGAUUACCAUACUGAUGAUCUCCCUGGAGGUUUCAUAGCAAGGUUUGACUUGAUGAAUUAAUUAAUAAAGCUAAAUAUCCUGAAGAUUUGGUGGAAAUAUGCUUUGACAUUUACAUCUAAGUGUUCAUCCGUGAAAAUCAAUAAAAUAUUUUUUCAUGCAGACCCUAUAGGCAUUUUCUUACUAAAAACUUCAUGUGGUUUAUGUGGCAAUUUCCAAAAAUGCCUAAAUAAACUCUGUUAUAGUUUACUGUGAAUAUUAAUAUAUUACAAAAAGAAAAAAGACCUUCCUCUAGUGACAAACUAAUAUUUGCAUAUUUGUGAGGAUUAUGAAGGUUUUUUCAUAUAUGGCAAUGUUAUUUUCAUUCUCCUAACAAUCCUCUGAGGAAGAUAGAAGUUAUUAUCUGUUUAUGAGGAAAGCGAAGCCCAAAGAUGUUAAGCGAAUAUCACUGUUCAGCAAAUAAGAGGUUAUACAUUCAAACUCAGUUCUUUUGAUUACCAGUUCAGUACUCUUAACAUCCAUUACUGUGCAGUGAUACUGAGAUGAUUAAUUUUUACACUUCUCCACUAAUAUUUCACCAGAUUUCUGUUACAGAAAUCUCAAAAAGAAUGCAUGUAUUCUUAUUCCACAAUUCUGUUUUUAGCCUUUGGGAUAAGCACUUCACCAUGAGUAUUUACCUCACCCAUUGAGAAUACCUGUGGGGCAGAAAACAGGUGCAAGUGUACUUCUUUAAUAAACAGGUAAGAGAUCUGUUGCUAAAGUAAAAUAGUGUCAAAAUUUCACAGAGGAAAGAGGUACCAAAAAAUAUGCAUUAUACAAAUACUUUGCCAUUGCAAGUGACAUGGUAAUGAACAGAGAAUUAAUGGCAAUCCUAGGUUUUCAUGGGAUAUAACAAUAGUGAUCAAACUGUUUACAGGCAAUUACUGUUUUCUGCUUUGCAAUUAACCCAUGUCAGCCUUGCAAGUAUAUAAAAAAUAUAUAGCUUUUAAAAAUAAUUUAUUCUCAAAAAUAUUUCAGAGUUGUAGCUCUUAGGUUUAAAAAGUCUUUAAAAUGGAGUUUGAUAACCAAUAAAUCUGUUUUCUAGUAUGAUGUUGUUUUAGGAUGUCCUUAUCUACUUUAUUUUUUAUCACCUCAUAGAACAUGAUAAAAAGUGGCUCAUGCCUGUAAUCCCAACAUUUUGGGAGGCCAAGACAGACAGAUCAUUUGAGCCCAGGAGUUUGAGACCAGCCUGAACAACAGGUGAAACCCUGUCUCUACUAAAAAUACAAGAAAUUAGCCAGGAAUGGUGGCAUGUGCUUGUAGUCCCAGCUACCCAGGAAGCUGAGCUGGGAAGAUCAUCUAAACCCGGGAGGCGGACAGUGCAGUGAGCUGUGAUUGCACCACUGCACUCCAGCCUGGGUGACAGAAUGAGACCCCGUCUCAUAAAAACAAAAUGUAAAGUGACUUAUCUGCUGAGACUCUGAAUGAUAAAUAUGAUUUUUAAAAUCCUUUCAAGUAAAUUUUAUAUGAAACUUUUAUACACAUAGAAAUUCUCUGCACAGUUUUAAAUUUCUCAGUUGUCACUUUGAUUUAUAUUCUUAAAUUGUUCCUGCCAUCUGUAUGCAAAUAUGUAGUAGGUAUUAAGUAGGACUCUCUUACUGACAUUCUAUUAAUAUAUACCUAUGUAUGUAUAACCUUUUAAAGGACACAUAUAAAAGAGCAUGCAAGUAUUGUUAUGAAAUACAACAACCAUGCAUGAACACAGAACACCCAACCAAAAAACUAGAGUGUUACCAAUAUCUUCAUACCAACCUAGUUCUUCCCCUAUCCCACCUCCAUGCCUGUCCUCUCCACAGGUAGCCUACUAUCCUGAAUUUUAUGUUUUACUAUCCCCUUGCCUUUUUUUUUUUUUUAAUGCGAUCUUGGCUCAGGCAAUCCUCCCACCUCAGUCUUCCAAGUAGCUGGGACUAUAGGCACAUGCCACCACACCUGGCUAAUUUUUGUAUUUUUUGUAGAGAUGGGGUUUUGCCAUGUUGCCCAGCCUGUUCUCGAACUCCUGAGCUCAAACAACCCACCCACCUCAGCCUCCUGCCUUGCCCUUUUAAAAAAUAACUGUAUCAUAUAUGUCUGCAUCCCUAAGUAAUACAUUUUUUAGUUUUGUUUUGGUUUUGAGCCUUACAAAAAAUGGUAUCUUACUGUAUAUAGUCCUCUGGUACUUGUUUUUUUUCUCUCACUAUUAAGUUUCUAGAUCCUCCUAUGUUGUUGCAUAUAGCUAUAUAUUGUUACAUAUAGCUGUAAAUCAGUCAUUUUACAGCUAUGUAAUACUCCAUUGUGUGACUGUUCCAUAAGUUAUGUAUUCAUCUUCUGUGGAUGUUCAAAUUUCCAAGUUUUUACUAUUAGGAUCAAUAAUUUCUUGAAUUACUCUUGUAUUAUCUCUUCGUGCACAUAUGCAAAAGUUUCUCUAGGUAGAUACCUAGAAGUGAAAUUACUUAAUCAUAGAGAAUGAAAAUGUUCGACUUUACAACUUAAGGCCAAAUUGUUUUUGAAAAUGUGUUGUUCCCUUUUGCAGUCUAACCAACAAUGUAAUCAAAGCUCCUUAAUGAAAAGGAUCAUCUAAAUUAUGUUUUAAAGUAGUUUUCAAUUUGGUCCUUUAGUAAAUAGUUAUCCAUGAUCAUGUCUAUUAAACCAUAUUAAGUCUUCAAUUCUUUUCAUAAAACCUUUCUAGAUGCAAAAUUUAAUACUAAAUCUUGUUUUAAAUGCCUGUCCACAUAUCAGUAAAAAUGUUUUAAAAUAACUACAUAAAAAUAAAAAAUGUCAAUGACCUUCAA